rnacentral:rRNA from 1 species
GAUGAACGCUGGCGGCGUGCCUAAUACAUGCAAGUCGAGCGAACAGAUGAGGAGCUUGCUCCUCUGACGUUAGCGGCGGACGGGUGAGUAACACGUGGAUAACCUACCUAUAAGACUGGGAUAACUUCGGGAAACCGGAGCUAAUACCGGAUAAUAUAUUGAACCGCAUGGUUCAAUAGUGAAAGACGGUUUUGCUGUCACUUAUAGAUGGAUCCGCGCCGCAUUAGCUAGUUGGUAAGGUAACGGCUUACCAAGGCAACGAUGCGUAGCCGACCUGAGAGGGUGAUCGGCCACACUGGAGCUGAGACACGGUCCAGACUCCUACGGGAGGCAGCAGUAGGGAAUCUUCCGCAAUGGGCGAGAGCCUGACGGAGCAACGCCGCGUGAGUGAUGAAGGUCUUCGGAUCGUAAAACUCUGUUAUUAGGGAAGAACAAAUGUGUAAGUAACUAUGCACGUCUUGACGGUACCUAAUCAGAAAGCCACGGCUAACUACGUG